rnacentral:rRNA from 1 species
UACGUAGGGGGGCUAGCGUUGUCCGGAUUUAUUGGGCGUAAAGAGCGUGUAGGCGGCCAGGUAGGUCUGCUGUGAAAAACUCGAGGCUCAACCUCGAGAUGUCGGCGGAAACCAUCUGGCUAGAGUCCGGAAGAGGAAAGUGGAAUUCCUGGUGUAGCGGUGAAAUGCGCAGAUAUCAGGAAGAACACCCGUGGCGAAGGCGGCUUUCUGGGACGGUACUGACGCUGAGACGCGAAAGCGUGGGGAGCGAACAGG